rnacentral:rRNA from 1 species
GAUGAACGCUAGCGGCAGGCUUAACACAUGCAAGUCGAGGGGCAGCAUGACGGAACCUCGGGUUUUGUCGAUGGCGACCGGUGCAAGGGUGCGUAACGCGUGAGCAACUUGCCCGUUUCAGGGGGAUAACCGGUGGAAACGCCGACUAAUACCCCAUAGCAUCAUAUUCAGGCAUCUUUAUAUGAUUAAAGAAUUUCGGAAACGGAUAGGCUCGCGUGACAUUAGCUAGAUGGCGGGGUAACGGCCCACCAUGGCGACGAUGUCUAGGGGUUCUGAGAGGAAGGUCCCCCACACUGGUACUGAGACACGGACCAGACUCCUACGGGAGGCAGCAGUGAGGAAUAUUGGUCAAUGGCCGGAAGGCUGAACCAGCCAAGUAGCGUGAAGGAUGAAGGUUCUAUGGAUUGUAAACUUCUUUUAUACGGGAAUAAAACCACCUACGUGUAGGUGCUUGUAUGUACCGUAUGAAUAAGCAUCGGCUAACUCCGUG